rnacentral:misc_RNA from 1 species
AACACAAGAAAACCCCGCGCUCUUCUUCCUUUCCUUGUCCCCUAAAAAGAUCAUGAAGAAUCGAAACAGAGCCAAAAUCUCAACUAAAUGGAUUGCUAUUCUUUGUAUUUUUAGCUUUGCUCUUGGUAUGCUUUUCUCUAACAGAGUUUGGACUCCUCCAGAAUCAGAUGGAAGGAACAUAUUUGGAAGGCGCCAGACGCAA